rnacentral:lncRNA from 1 species
ACCUUUCUAGUGGGGAUGAUUGGCCGGUUGUUGGGGGCAAUUCAAAUUCAAAACCGUCGGAGUUGGCACCUCUGCUUCGGUGCCCAAGGCUGGCUUCGCGUCAUCCAGUCAUAUUCAGGUUGAGCCCGCACCCAUGGCUUGAUCUUCUGGGCCUUCGAAAUUUCCUUCCCUCCCUGAUAGUAGGCCGACCUCUCCUGGGGGCACUUCGUUGGCUCGCAACUUGGCCGAAGGCUAGAGGUGCCAUGCAUCAGCAAGUAGCCGAAAUGCAAAGCUGUCAGGCGCAUGAGGCACAAUGGUGGAGGACAUGACCUUGCUUGGUGGCCAACCUCAGUAUUGGGGUUGCUCGUUGGGAACUCGUGGAGUCCGACGAGGGGUUCGAAUGCAGGCGAUUGGUUGAGCUGUCAGUCUCGCGCAGGAGCAAGCUUGGCAAAUGCUUGGAUUGGUAUUCCGCUGUUAAGUUUGGGAGACUUGUCCAUGUUAGGACUUGGGGUAGGCUUGCCCAUCUUCGAGCAGGAAGGGGGCGCCGCACGGGUUUUACGAAGAAAAAAAGUUAUGU